rnacentral:rRNA from 1 species
CCUACGGGAGGCAGCAGUGGGGAAUUUUGCGCAAUGGGGGAAACCCUGACGCAGCAACGCCGCGUGAGUGAUGAAGGUUUUCGGAUCGUAAAGCUCUGUCAAGAGGGAAGAAACCUCCAAUGGUUAAUAUCUGUUGGAAUUGACGGUACCUCUAGAGGAAGCACCGGCUAACUCCGUGCCAGCAGCCGCGGUAAUACGGAGGGUGCAAGCGUUGUUCGGAAUUAUUGGGCGUAAAGCGCGUGUAGGCGGUUAGUUAAGUCUGAUGUGAAAGCCCCGGGCUCAACCUGGGAAGUGCAUUGGAUACUGGCAAACUUGAGUACGGGAGAGGGAAGUGGAAUUUCGAGUGUAGGGGUGAAAUCCGUAGAUAUUCGAAGGAACACCAGUGGCGAAGGCGGCUUCCUGGACCGAUACUGACGCUGAGACGCGAAAGCGUGGGGAGCAAACAGGAUUAGAUACNCUGGUAGUCCACGCCGUAAACGAUGGGUACUAGGUGUUGCGGGUAUUGACCCCUGCAGUGCCGAAGCUAACGCAUUAAGUACCCCGCCUGGGGAGUACGGCCGCAAGGCUAAAACUCAAAGGAAUUGACGGGGGCCCGCACAAGCGGUGGAGCAUGUGGUUUAAUUCGACGCAACGCGAAGAA